AGAAUUAAACCUUCUUGUUUUUGAGAAUUAAACUUUCUAGUUGUAAGCUCAGAACCACACACAAGACUCGAAAUGAGAGAGGAGAGGGAAGAGCGCAAAUGGGGAAGCCCUCUCUCUCACUCGGAUUGACAAUCUUCGUCUCCCUCUCUCUCACAGCCUCCUCCUACUCCAUCUCAUCCUCUUCUUCAUGUUCCCCAAUCUUUCUCAAACCAUCUUCACCAUCAACAUCUCCCAAAGCCACCCCUUCAGACCUGCUCUCUUUGCUGGGCUCCAAAUCCCAGUCUUCAACCAUUAACCCACUUGUAGCCCAAGAGCUGUCUUCUUGCUUCAAAUUCCUCGUACCCUUUACGCCAAAUGUCAACAAAUUGUGCCAACAAAAGUAUCCCAAUAGAAAAGUCUUAAACUUGAAGCAAAAGGGUGAUUUAUGUCAACGGGAGGAGGAGGAUGAGCUUGUUUGGUGGCCUCCUCAGCCGGUUUUGGAGCUUGCUCGCCUCGCUGUUGACUCUGGUGGAGACCCAGCUGCUAUUCAACGUGCUUUGGAUCCCACGAUGAUCACUGUACCUGAUGUUGAAGGAUCAAAAGUGAACCGAUGUGAGCUUACUAGAACUCCAUAUGGGAGACGCUUCAUAAGUGAGGAGUUGAAUUCAUAUCUUGAAUUUUUAUUUGAACUUAUUCUAGCUCGGGGUCCCGCCGUUGGGUUGAAUGUGUCGUUGAGUCGCUAUGAUUUAUUCCAUGGCCACCUUUUUCUUGCCAUAGACACCGGAAGACUUGGUAUAUUAUUCCAUGCCAAAGAAUACCCUGCAUAUGAUAAAGAAGUAUUUCCAUAUAAUAUGGGCUACUGUCAAGUAGGGUCUAAUGUGAGAUAUGAUGAUUCAAUGAACUUGCGAAAUAUCCUCUGGCUGGCUCCAUUGCCAAGCAAUUCAACUAAAGCUUGGGUAGCACCAGGUGUCCUUGUAGCGCUGGAUGCCCAUCCAGAAGGCAUCAUAUAUAGAGAUCUCAUACCUGAAUAUGUAAAUUUUGCUAGGACAAUAUAUGAAGACGAUCUUGGGGAAGUUGCAGUUGAUGUCAACUAUUUGGAUGUGGGAAAUGCAAAGUCGAAGUUCCAACUUUUUAUAUGCUGAUGCUCUUUUCAAGGUUUGUACCAUAUGCUUUCUCUUCAUCGCCUAGUCUAUUAUGCAACAAUGCCAAGUAACCAUUUAUUUAUCAUGGAUCAACCUCAAAUGCGAUAUGAGCCAAAUAUAAAGUCUCAAGUAGGCUGGCCAGGAUAUGAUUCCUUUGGUUCGAUUGUGGAAAGUAAGAUCCAAGGGUACACAGGAGAUGCGCUGGUUUGUUCUUGCUGCAGAUUUCGCUAGGCAUGCAAGCCUAAUUUGCCAGUGUCAGUGCAAGUGUGGCUGUGCUGUUUCCCCUUUACUUCUGUUCCUAAGUGUGGAGCUCUGCAGAUGAACUCACCAAUUCAUUGUUUCUAAAUCAUCAUUUCUUCCCC